rnacentral:rRNA from 1 species
UUAAAAAGCUCGUAGUUGGAUUUCUGGUUGGAGCGACCGGUCGGGCAUUGAUUUGUCUGCACUGGAGUCGGUUCUGGCCAUCCUCUUGGAAAGUGCGUCUGACAUUAAGUUGUCGGGCGUAUGAUCCAGGACGUUUACUGUGAAAAAAUUAGAGUGUUUAAAGCAGGCCUUCGCCUUGAAUACAUUAGCAUGGAAUAAUAAGAUAGGACUUUGGUCUAUUUUGUUGGUUUGCAGACCGAAGUAAUGAUUAAUAGGGAUAGUUGGGGGUAUUUAUAUUCCAAUGUCAGAGGUGAAAUUCUUAGAUUUUUGGAAGAUAAACUUUUGCGAAAGCAUUUA